AUCAGUCAGCAGCCAAUCAGACGGAGUGGAGAGAGUGAUCCAGCUGCAGUUUACUCAGCAGUGAAAACAACAGAAGACGUCACUUAUGGACAAAUAGUCGUCAAAUCAAACAGGAAGAGAGUGUCUCCAUUAGAGCCAGAGGUUGUCUACUCUUCACUGAGGUAGACCUCCACACCUUCACACCAGUCCAACCACUGACAUCCAGC